UCCUCGUUAGUAUAGUGGUCAGUAUCCCCGCCUGUCACGCGGGGGAGGGCAACAACCGGGGUUCAAUUCCCCGACGGAGGA